GAUGAACGCUGGCGGCGUGCCUAAUACAUGCAAGUCGAGCGAACGGACGAGAAGCUUGCUUCUCUGAUGUUAGCGGCGGACGGGUGAGUAACACGUGGAUAACCUACCUAUAAGACUGGGAUAACUUCGGGAAACCGGAGCUAAUACCGGAUAAUAUUUUGAACCGCAUGGUUCAACAGUGAAAGACGUUCUUGCUGUCACUUAUAGAUGGGUCCGCGCUGCAUUAGCUAGUUGGUAAGGUAACGGCUUACCAAGGCAACGAUGCAUAGCCGACCUGAGAGGGUGAUCGGCCACACUGGAACUGAGACACGGUCCAGACUCCUACGGGAGGCAGCAGUGGGAAUCUUCCGCAAUGGGCGAAAGCCUGACGGAGCAACGCCGCGUGAGUGAUGAAGGUCUUCGGAUCGUAAAACGCUGUUAUUAGGGAAGAACAUAUGUGUAAGUAACUGUGCACAUCUGGACGGUACCUAAGCAGAAAGCCACGGCUAACUACGU
rnacentral:rRNA from 1 species